rnacentral:rRNA from 1 species
AGUGAACGCUGGCGGUAGGCCUAACACAUGCAAGUCGAACGGCAGCACAGUAAGAGCUUGCUCUUACGGGUGGCGAGUGGCGGACGGGUGAGGAAUACAUCGGAAUCUACUUUUUCGUGGGGGAUAACGUAGGGAAACUUACGCUAAUACCGCAUACGACCCACGGGUGAAAGCAGGGGAUCUUCGGACCUUGCGCGAUUGAAUGAGCCGAUGUCGGAUUAGCUAGUUGGCGGGGUAAAGGCCCACCAAGGCGACGAUCCGUAGCUGGUCUGAGAGGAUGAUCAGCCACACUGGAACUGAGACACGGUCCAGACUCCUACGGGAGGCAGCAGUGGGGAAUAUUGGACAAGGGGCGCAAGCCUGAUCCAGCCAUGCCGCGUGGGUGAAGAAGGCCUUCGGGUUGUAAAGCCCUUUUGUUGGGAAAGAAAAGCAGCAGGUUAAUACCCCGCUGUUCUGACGGUACCCAAAGAAUAAGCACCGGCUAACUUCGUG